GUAACAUGGAAUUCAUAAAUGAUAUUGCAGAGAAAAGUAAAUUGCAGUUUGCAUGUAAUAGCAGCUAUUCAGAUGCUGUUUUGUGGCAAUCUUUAUACACACAAUGUGAAAUUGCCAAUAGUGAAAUUGACAAGAAAUUGUUUGUUAAUAAGAAAAAACAAAAGAUCAGAAAUGUUAUGAAACUAGUCUGUACUUACAAUGCAUUGAUUUGUAAACGAAAUGCAGGUCAAGAAAAUUUAGAAUCAGCAGAAAAAGAAGUAGAUUUGAAUGGGUUAACAGAAGACAAAUCAGAUUUAAAUGAACAGUGUAACAAUGUAACAGAGAGAACAUUGUCAGAAAAAGUCUGUGAAUUAGAGGAUAGAGUUGAACUAAGAAAUGAUCUUAUCUGCCAGCUUAGAAAUGAAG